rnacentral:lncRNA from 1 species
CAGCAGGCUGGCUCCCGGCUCGGGUACCACGCUGGCCCUCCACCCACCUGAGCUUCCUGGUGGGCUUCGGGGAACCUCCUCUUCCUCCUUUGGGGCUGGAGGCGGGGUGUUGGUGGCAAAAUGCGCGAAGUGAGGUGCCAAGGUUUUGCCACCGAAGAUUGAAAAGCAGUGCUGCGCGCGCGGAGAUCCUUCCUCUCGGCCCGAGGUGUUUCUCAGGCUUGGUAUGUUUCAAUUGAAAUCUCUUCUUUUUCAUCGUCUUUCUUUUUAACCUUUCGUAAAGAACAGAAAGAAAAUAAACUAUAAUUGGUGCGGUUCCGUGCCAGGGGCGCACCGAAGCGUCUGAAACCCCCAGCGAACUCCCUCGGAGCUUCCAGGAGCCCAGUGCUACAUUCCUUGCUUAAACCACCUGUGCCCUUAUCUUUUUGCGGUUGUUGACACAUUUUCUCCAGCCUGCCCCAGAGAGUUCCUUUAAGGCUCUGACCAAUCCCCCCACCACCCCCCCAUUCCUAAUACCAGCGUCCUUCCAAUAGGAGUUUACAUUUUUUAAACUUUAUUUAAAUUAUUUAAUUAACACGGGGCUGCUGUUAUGCCAUUAUUUAUUAUUAUUAUGUUUAUUAUGUUUAUCAUUCCCUUACCUCCACUUCCCCAGGAAAGAGGAGUGACUAGUUCUGUGUCUUCCAUCAUUAGAAGUUCCUUAGUGAGGCGUCUGGGUGGCUCAGUCAGUUAAGCCUGCAACUCUUGAUUUUGGCUCAGGUCAUCAUCUCACGGUUGGUGGACAGGCUCGCGUUGAACUCUGUGCUGGCAGUGCUGAGCCUGCUUGGGAUUCUCUCUCUCUCCCCUUGUCUCUGCCCCUCCCCGGAUUGUUCUCUCUCUCUAAAAUAAAAAAAAAAAAAAAAAAGAUUGAAAAACAGUGUAGAGGAAAUGAAUGCACAAGGCAGAGCUGUGUCAAAAGCAAUUUGCUACUAUUGAAGAUUAGGAAUACAAGCUUCCUGGCUUGUAUUUUCUGGCUGGCUUAGUCAGGAAGCAUGCAGCCCUUGAUCCUGGGGUCGUGAGUUCGAGGCCCACGUUGGGUGCGGAGCCUACAUUAAAAAAAAAAAAACCAAAAAACACAAUACAGGCUUUUCUUAAAAGUUACAGCAGAUUCAGCCACCCCUAUAGCAAAGUUACUGUCAAACACUCACAUUCUGAUUUUAUGUUCCUCAGAGGAAGAGAAAGAGGUGAUGUUGUCACUGGCUGAAAGGAACUGCACAUGGCUGGGGAUAGGUGGGUAGGCAGGCACCAGAGGCAAAAGCCCGAGGUAAAGGUUUGGUGUGAUGCUCUGAUUCCCAGAGCUGAAGAAGGCCAGCCUCUGCUCCAGGGUCCGUUUUAAUUCAGAGCUUGCUAUAGCCGAGGAAUCAGCUACCAUUGCUUGUGUUUGGCAGGGACUCAAUGACAGGCAGGGAGAAAAUGUCAGGUGUGCUCUGACUGGAAGUUAUUGGUGGGGGGAAGCUGGAGGCGGGCUGGCCGGAAGUGGACAUCCUAUUUGAUUGCUUAGGGGAACAUGUUUGGCCUUCUCUGGUUGGUCUUAAGUUGGAAGUGGGGACAAAGACCGGGGAAGCUGGUAUUUAUUGACCAAGUCCUGACCAUAUUCAUUCCCUUUUUUUUGUCCUGGUUAUAGACCUUGAAUCCACAGCCAUUGGCAUGGACCCAUAAACCCAAUCUGGGCAAUCAUGAUACUCCAUGAUUGUUUGGCAACAGUAAUUGGCUCAAAAGGUGACCGUGUGAUCCAAGCAGGGCCCAACUAUGUAACUUCUCUAGAACUGAAGUUUGGAUAUCAGAAGAAAGAAGUUUUGUCCACUGCAGCCGCUAAAUAGAGAGACUGUCGAUUUGGGGCUACUGGCGGUCAUCUUUUCCACCACGCGGAGAGUCUGUUUACAGAGUGAAGUUUGUGUAGUAAAGGACUAACCUUACCCAAAGAAAGAUGUGGCCUUUGCCCUUUGCUCCUGGGAGAAGCUCUUUAAACCCCUGGCAAGUCCUACCUGACAAGAGUGUCUCUGUGUACCCCGGGGACUUGGGCCUCACCAGGUGGCCUAACAAUGUGAUGAUAAGAUGGAAACUGGGACACAGAGAGGGAGAAGACCAUGGGAAGGUGGAGGCAGAGAUUAGAGUGAUGCGUCUACAAGCCAGAAAACCCGAGGAUUGUCAGCAGUGUCCAGCAGCUAGGGAGAGGCAAGGGAGGGUCCCGGCCUAGAGUUUUCAGGGAGAGCCUGGCCCGACCAACAUCUCCAUCUUGGACUUCUAGCUUCCACAACUGUGAGGCAAUAUACCUCAUUUUUUAAGGUUCCCUGGUGGUUUUAUGGAGGCGCUCCUUACAAUCACAAUAAGAACUGCAGGGUUGGACUAGUUACCACAUAAGCUCCAGUUAGAAUGUGUCUGUGAACCAUCAAGCAAGCGGCCCUGGGCCCAGUGAGUGCCCCAGGCACUCCUAGUCGAUAGCGGCACUAUCGAUAUAGGCUUUGACCAUCACAAAGCCGACUGAAAGGAAAAGGCCUCACUGAGGACGUAAUGUUUCAGCCCAUAUCUGAAGGAGGUGAGGGAGAGAGUGUGAAGUGUCUGAAAAACGAGCAUUCCUGGUGGAAGCACUUUCUAGAGUGUGGUCAGACAGUUCUCUUAGUUUUUCCAUAAACAUGUACGGUCUUCAGUUAUUUUAGAGAACACAUUCCAGAAAAUAACACACUUAGGUUCUGUUGACCAACGUGUGGAGCAACUAUCAGAAGACCCUGGGCAAUGAGCGUUCGCUUUUUAACCUUCCAUUCACUCCUCAUCCCCAUGCAAUCUGGCUUCUGGACAUGUGAUGUUGCAACGUUUAAGACUGAAGCAAAUAAGUAAAACCAGCUGUCUUCUGUUGAGCCCGACAUGGAGACGUGGAGAAAUCCAAAGAUUUUCUCACUGAGAGAGAGACAUCUGAGUAAAGACCAAAGAGGUGAGAGAAACUGAAAAGAGAGUAAAACAGGAUUUAAGAAUUGCUGCACACUGCAUAUUCGUAUGUGUUAAAAAUGCAAUUAAAAGUAAUUCUUUAGGGGCACCUGGGUGGCUCAGUUGGUUAAACAUCUGACUCUUGGUUUUGACUCAGGUCAUUAUCUCACCAUUUGUGAGUUUGAGCCCCAUGACGGGCUCCGCACUGACAGCGCGGAGCCUACUUGGGAUUCUUUCUUUGCCUCUCCCUCUGCCCCUCCCCUGCUCACUUGGACUCUCAUUUCUCUCUCUCUCUCACAAUAAAUAAAUAAACUUAAAAAGUCAGUUUUCUGGGUUGUGUAUUUUUGGAAAAUACACUGUUCAGAGAUAGUGCAAAGUGGCAAUCUAUUCCAUUUGGUUGCAGAGGUCAUUUUAGAGUCUCUGAUCUUUUUCCUUUACCUCCAAAAUACAUAUAUAUCUUCAAUUUUUUACUUGCUUUCUACGAUCUCAGUGGGUUAAAAUGGUGGUUUAUUAUUAGUGCAGCUCAGUACAAUGCACUUGCCCAGGACGGGGAAGAUGCUGUGUGCUCCCACAGUGAACCAAAGAAUGGGUGCACUGUCUGUGGAGAAUUAAAAAAAAAAUUAAUGUUUAUUUAUUUAUUUUGAGGG